rnacentral:lncRNA from 1 species
UCCCCCAUUUUAGGUUAGCUAUCAGAUUCAUUUCAUUUCUCUUCCCAUCACCACAGUCCUCCACUUACUUGCCGAUCUCCAUCAGUCAUCAGGACUCAGAGCAAGCUUGGAAUGUGUGAUUACGGGGUGAAAGGUUUGAUCGAUUUUGAGUCCUUGAUCUUAGUCUGAAGAAGAAGAAGAAUCGCCCAGACACUGAGAAGGUUUUGAGGUUAGUCACAGUCCAAGUCUGAGGCAUAUUUUUUUUCUUUCCUUUGCUGCCUUUUGUGGAUGCAUUCUUCUAAACCAAGCAUCAGUUCGUUGUGAAUUGGAUUCUUCUGCUGUAAAUUUAGGAUCUUUAAAUACCUAAUUCAGAUUUGGAAAGUGCUUGAGAAUGCAAGACUGGACCUAUCUAUGUUUUCAUACGACUAUAUUCUAGGUGACUGGUUUGAGGAAGAAGCCAUCUUCACUGUUGUGACUGCAGGUGCUAAAUAAGACAACUGGUACU